GAUGAACGCUGGCGGCGUGCCUAAUACAUGCAAGUCGAGCGGCCACACAAUGAGCUCGUUCCCUUGCCGGUAGCGGCUGACGGACGGGUAACACGUAGAUCACCUUCUUCUAUUUCUGGGAUAAUUACGUGGAGCAGCUGACACUACUGGCUCAUAUAUUCAACCGCUUGGUUCAGUAGUUCUUGACGCCUUUGCUGUCACAUUUAGACGGUGUCGCGUCGCAUUAGCUAGUUGGUAAGGUAACGGCUUACCAAGGCUACGAUGCGUAGCCGACCUGAGAGGGUGAUCGGCCACACUGGAACUGAGACACGGUCCAGACUCCUACGGGAGGCAGCAGUAGGGAAUCUUCGGCAAUGGGCGAAAGCCUGACGGAGCAACGCCGCGUGAGUGAAGAAGGUCUUCGGAUCGUAAAACUCUGUUAUUAGGGAAGAACAAAUGUGUAAGUAACUAUGGACGUCUUGACGGUACCUAAUCAGAAAGCCACGGCUAACUACGUG
rnacentral:rRNA from 1 species